rnacentral:rRNA from 1 species
GACGAACGCUGGCGGCGUGCUUAACACAUGCAAGUCGAGCGGUGAACCGGGCUUCGGCCCGGGGAUCAGCGGCGAACGGGUGCGUAACACGUGGGCAACCUGCCCCUCACUCUGGGAUAACCCCGGGAAACCGGAGCUAAUACCGGAUACUCUCGCGGAGCCACAUGGCCCUGCGAGGAAAGGUCCGCCGGUGAGGGAUGGGCCCGCGGCCUAUCAGGCUGUUGGUGGGGUCAUGGCCCACCAAAGCGACGACGGGUAGCUGGUCUGAGAGGACGACCAGCCACACUGGGACUGAGAUACGGCCCAGACUCCUACGGGAGGCAGCAGUGGGGAAUCUUGCGCAAUGGGCGAAAGCCUGACGCAGCGACGCCGCGUGGGGGAUGAAGGCCCUCGGGUCGUAAACCCCUUUCGGCAGGGACGAAGCGAUCGUGACGGUACCUGCAGAAGAAGCCCCGGCUAACUACGUGCCAGCAGCCGCGGUAACAC